GAUAGAUAGAUAGAUAAUAGAUAGAUGAUAGAUAUAGAUAGAUAGAUAGAUAGAUAGAUAGAUAGAUAGAUAGAUAGAUAAAACUUUAGAAGUGAUAGCGGCAAAGAUGCUUCAGUCACAUAUUUUUUAAAUGUAUUUUUCUUGUCAUCAGACUCAUGCAGAAUAAAAAGCUAACGGUCCCUGUCAAAGUGGGACCUACCAAUGCCAUUCGAUAACUCUCACUGCAUGGGGGCCAUAAUGGGAAACACUGCAGACGUCCUAUUUACAUAGAAGUCCUCAAAGGUGUGUGCAGUCCCAGUCACCCAGUGUCCCUGGCAGGGGAGGAUGCCAGAGUGACAGGUCUCUUGGUUUCUCAGUCUAUGUUCCAGAGGUGGCAUGACCCUGAAAGAGACACUCCUGACCAAGAAAGACUACUCAUGCAAAGAGAGAUGAGCCCAGUAUCUGUCCCCACACAGCCUGUUCUAGGACAAAUGUUCAGCCUCCAAGGUUUUAACUAUACAACCUCAUUCUCCAUGUACUUCAGACCCUUCACUGCAUGCUUUUUUCUACCAAAAUGUGCUAGCAGCCUUCCUGUAUACUCUGUUACCUGUCGAGGCAGGGCUUCUCAACUUGGCUGAGCAACAGAAUCAUUCAGAGAGUGUUUUAAAAUACACAGAUCCUUAGACCCCCACCCCCAGGGCCUCUGUUUUCAAAGUUCAGGGGUGGGGGCAGGAACUUAUUUUUAAACAGCUUCCCAGGUGAUUUUGAUUUACAUCAGACAUGAGAGCCCCUGAACUAAAGCAAACUGCCUCGCACCACAAACAUAAGUUGAGGUUCUGUUAUGUUGUGCCUGGGGUGACAGCUUCAGAUGUGAUUUCUCAGAACUGGCUCUGCUUCCACCACUCAAAGGGAUACAAUGUCUUUCCUUUCUUUUGCACAGACAAAUCCGCCAGAGAAAAAGGCUUUGGGGAGUAACCUGGGCUGAUCAAUAGAGCAAUCAUGUCUGGACUUUUAAGGAUGUUGCCCCACCUUCCCAAGAAUGCUCAGAAGAUGGUACUUACAGACCUGCAAUUUGAGAAAAACAGGGUUUUCAUGAGAGGCGGCUCAAUCAAUGCCUUGGGGCAGUGGGGCUGGGACUUGCCUGUGAUUCCAGGGGUGUACCCUACAUGAAGCCAGUGUUCACAUAAUCCAACAGGCAGGACUGACUACUAAGGUCCAUUGGUAAUGGGAAAGUGAGAGCCCAACCCCCUAAGAGGGGCAGAAAACCUUUGGGGCUGGGUCGGGAAGGGCAGUUAGGACAGGCAGAGAAUCAGAGAGCUGGACCAGAAAUAGAGAUAAGAAAGAGCUUGAGGGGUCAGGGAACUCAGAGGAAGCUCAGAGCUAAGUCAGGGGAAGCAAAGCGCUCUCCCCACUUCUCAGGAAAUCUAGGAGAGGAUGCUGGGCAGAAACAAGUGACCUCUGCUGGCCUGCAGAGACUUGUAGACUGAGUGAUCUCAGCAUGGCUCCUGGGAAGAGCUGGGAGCUCUCCAGAGACAGGGGUUUUGUCUUUAGCCAUAGACUUGCCUCUGCAAGCUGUGUAACCUUAGACAAGCUGCCUAACCCCUGUGGGCUCUGGUUUCUUUAGCAGAAUGGCAGGGUGGGGAUAGUUGAUCUCUGGGUUCUCUUCCAGCUCUGAGGAUCUGUGAGGGAUGUUGCCACUGAGUUGGGAAAAGCUCAACCCUAACUGUUGCAUGUGUUGGAAUCUCCUCUGUACUCCCAGUCUGGGCCCUGUGGGGACCCUGCCUACUCAGAAACAUGGAGACCAUCCCCUGGUAACCAGUUAGGAGGAGAGAGGAUGCUUUAUAAAGGAAUCAUCGAGUCCGUAGCCUUUGAGACACGCUUCUUCUAUUCCGUGAUGCCUUUGAGAUGCACCAUGUCAUUGCCUGUAUCAGUAGUUUGUUCCUUGUGUUGCUAAGUGGCAUUCCACUGCAUGGGCGCGCCGUGGUUCAUCUAUUCCCCUGAUGAAAGACAUGUGUACUGUUUCAAGGGCAAAUACCUAGGCGUGAGCUGUAUCCUAUGGUAAGUGUGUGUUUAGCUUCAUAAGAAAUUGCCAAAUUCUUUUCCAGAGUGGUUUUACAAUUUUGCAUUCUCAUCAGCAAUGGAUAUCCUUUCUUUUUUACUUUUAUUUGAAAACAAAGUCAUCUUCCCGCCAAGGUGAAGGGUAGGGACAUAAGGAACUGAAAUAAAAGCUAAGUCCAGAAAUGAAAUACAGAGUGAUUGUGAGCCAUUUGUGGCUUUCCCAAAAUACCAGGUGUUCUUAAGGCUGAAAGCACCUCAAGUUGAAGCUCCAGGUGGACACAGUGGGAUGUGAACUUUGGGAGAAGAGAUAGGGCAGGUCCCUGGAGAACUGGGUCUUAGGGCUCUGCUGUGUGCCUGAGGGCAGGUUACUGUGCUGCUCCAAACCUCAAGUGUUUACUGGGAUCAACUCUUGCAGGUUUGAUAAGGUCACAAUUUGUGGUGUUUCAAUUGUUACGUGAUCCAGGCUUUGUGGUGAACAUCAGAAGAAGCUCUAAAUAAAGGUUUAGGAUGCACACAGCCUGCUUCCAUGCCAUGUGGAAGCAAGAACUCCUCCAGAAAUAUUGAGGCAAAGAUACUUUGUAAACAUGCAAAAAUCCAAAAAUGCUUUGCUUAACAACAGAGAAGUUUCCAGUAGUGUGGGAACUGUUCUCAGAUGUGUGGGGCCAGGAACAGAUCUGAUGCAGAGGAUACAGUUCCAUUCUGGAGAAAGUGGCUGAAUACGUUUGUGGUUGUGUCUCUGAACUUUCUCUCUGGACCAUUUCUAUGCCUUCUGCCCCUCCUCGUCUCCCUGGGAUCUUCAGGAUCCCAACUUCCACUCCGCAACUAAACAACGAAUUCUCCAGAGCAUAAGGUUGAGAGCUUGGGCUGUGAAUCAGGAAGACCUGGUUUAAAGCUGAGCCACCUUCUCGCUGGGGUAACGACGGAUCAAUUACUCAACCUCACUGGACCUCACAUCUCCCAUUUGUAAAUGGGGGUAAUAAGAAUGCCUCCGUCAGCAGCCUAUUCUGAGGACUAAAUGAGGCAAUGCCUGCACAGCCUUUACUGUAGGUCUGGUACACGGUAUGUUUGCAGGAAAAAUUAGUUAUGUUUGUAUGUUGUUGGGUUAUUUUUUUUUCUCUUUUUUAAAAAAUUUUUUUUCUCUUUUGAAAAAAUCAUCAAAGAAGAACAUUGGCUCUCAGAUCUCUAAGAUCUCUCCCAGCUCUUAUGUUACACGUAACAGAGGGGGGCCUACUUCAUGCAUUCUGGAAAUUGAAAGCUAUGCCACAUCAGUUUUCUGGAAACAAGGGCUACCAGGAAAGAAGGGUCAGUUCGGGCCCCAUUUUCGCCACUGAACCCAAACUGACCUCUGCAUCUGUUUUGCUGAUUGUUGGAGACCGGGUUCUAGAGCUCCCCAUCACUGAUAGAAGAAUCACUCCUGAAAGGUGAAAGGUCCGGGGCCAGGGCUUCCGAAAGGCCUGAACAACAGAGGAAGGGAGGCUCUGUGUUCCUCUCCCACCUGCACAGAUCAGUCAGUCACUCUGUUCUACAGGGACUCUCUGUAACUCAUGAGAGGGACUCUGGAGGGAGACCCCUCUGUAACUCUCUGUAACUCUUUGAGGGACUCUGAAAACUCAUGUAUGAAACUGCAGAAGUCUGCUUCUAGACUUUGCCUUGGCCAUGUGAGGUAAAGGGCCCUUCAACCCCUGCCCCCUACCUUGUAAAUGUGCAAAUGGACUCACAUUUGAACCUCAACAGGUUCCUGAAAAUCGAAUAAUAAAAUAGAUUGCUGUAAAGCAGCCCAUAUUUUCCCAUAGCCACAGGGUUGUAAUUGGUGAUUACUAGCCUGAUCAGUGGUAACUCGACAGCAAAUUUAUCACUGAUGUGACCAACAAUGUCAUAAAGUGAAUACUGUGUGUCUCUAUAACCACUGAAAAUACUCAAGUUAUGCUCCAGGUCCUAUAAAAUGGGCGUAAAUACACUGAACACUUCACUGAGGGAAGGGAACCAAUGACCUAUAUGCAAUAUAUGGGCAGCUAUAAAAAAUACAACCAGGCCAUAAAUUUGAAUGAAAACCAAUAUUCUAGCCUUAAUGGACAUGAAUUAAACAUUUAAUUAACACCAGUUUGCCCUACUUGCUUAGAAUUCCAAAUGAAUUUGGAAUGGAUCAUUUGGGCAGGUUGGGUGUCUUUUAAGAAUGGCCCAGGGAAGCUUAAGUUGUUACCUUUGUCCCUCAAUAAAUGAAGAUCCCGAGGGGAGCAGUGCCACCAGCUCACGGCAUGGAGCGGUGAAAAAGGAUGGUGUUCACCCCGCUGAACCACACGUUCUGAAGGCGGGGCUGCCCCACAGAGCACACACCAGCUUCUCCUGCCUCAGCUUAGAUGCAGCUGAAGGGGAAGUCGCCCUGCCCAGGUAGCCAGCAGGGCUGGUGGCCUGCUGUCUGGCUGCUAAGCCCAGGGAGGGAGGCAGUUUUGUGGAUUCACAGGAGUGCUCCGAGGACCCACCGUUGUCAGGAUCCCGGAAAGCUGGCUGAAAUGCAGAUCCCUCACUCUGACAUCCUGCGUCAGUACGGCUGAGAAUUCUGCAUUUAAGCGACCCCUUGAUGCUCAUUCUGGUGCACACUGGGGCUUGAGACUCCCUGCAAUGGGAGGUAUUCUCAUCUCAGCCCCCUCCUGGUCAUGCAUAGUCAGCCACCACUGUUCCCUCAACUACACAACAAAAUUGAGUAUCGUGGCCUCCUCAAACCCAUUUCAUAACUAUGCAGGCAUUCCUCGUAUGUGCAGACUGGUUCUGGGCCCCCCAUGGAUACCAAAAUCCACAGGUGCUCAAGCCCCUAAUGUAAAAUAGUAUAGUAUUUUCAUAUAACCUAUGCACAUCCUCCCAUUUACUUUAAAUCAUGGGUGUCCAAUCUUUUGGUUUCUCUGGGCCACAUUGGAAGAAUUGCCUUGGGCCACACAUAAAAUACACUAACACUAAUGAUAGCUGAUGAGCUGAAAGAAAAAAAAUCUGCAAAAGAUUCUCAUAAUGUUUUAAGAAAGCGUAUGAAUUUAUGUUGGGCCACAUUCAAAGCUGUCCUGGGCCACAUGAAGCCUGUGGGCCGCGGGUGGGACAAGCUUAUUUUAAAUCAUCUCUAAAUUACUUAUAAUUCCUAAUGCAAAGUAAAUGCUAUGUAAAUAGUUGUCAUACUGUAUUUUUAUAUAUAUUAUUUCUUAUUGUAUUAUUUUUUAUCAUUUUUUCCCAAAUAUUUUUGAUCUGCCCUUGUUUGAAUCUGAGGAUACAGAACCCGCAGACACAGAAAGCUGACUAUAUUUCUAAUUUUUAAAAGUCUUAAUUAUACAGGUAAUAAAGGAAUGCAUAUUAGUUGUUUUAAAAGAAAAGCAGAACACACAGCAAAACUUAAACACACAAAGUGAAUGUCCUCCUUUCCCAUCUCACUUCCUUCCUUGGAGGAAACCCCUGUCAAUCGUUGGUUGCACAUCUUUCCAUACUUUUUAAAAAUGCAAUUGCAGGCCGGGCGCGGUGGCUCACGCCUGUAAUCCCAGCACUUUGGGAGGCUGAGGUGGGCAGAUCAUCUGAGGUCAGGCGUUCGAGAUCAGCCUGGGCAACAUGGCAAAAUCCCAUCUCUACUAAAAUUACAAAAAUCAGCCGGGCGUGGGGGUGGGAGUCUGUAAUCCCAGCUACUCGGGAGGCUAAGGCAAGAGAAUCAUUUGAACCUGGGAGGUGGAAGUUGCAGUGAGCCGAGAUCGUGCUACUGCACUCCAGCCUGGGCAACAAAAGCAAAAACUCCGUCUCAAAAACAAACAAACAAACACAUUUGCAUACUCAUAAUUUGAGCUUCUCCUUCUUUACACAAAUGGCAUCCUUCUACUCACAUUGGUGAGGAACUUGCUUUUUUCACUUUAUGUCUGGAAACCAUUCCAUGUCUUUCUUAUACUUUUUUCUAUUUAUUUUUUAUUUUUAACUUUUAUUUUAGGUUCAAGAGUACAUGUGCCUGUUUGUUAUAUAGGUAAAUUGCAUGUCAUGGGGGUUUGGUGUACAGAUUACUUGGCUACUCAGGUAAUAAGCAUAGAACCCACAGGUAGUUUUUCAAUCCUCACCCUCCUCCUUCCACCCUCAAGUUGGCCCCAGUGUUUGUCGUUCCCUUCUUUGUGUCCAUAGGCACUUGAUGUUUAGCUCCCACUUAUAAGUGAGAACAUGCAGUAUUUAGUUUUCUGUUCCAGUGAUAGUUCACUUAGGAUAAUGUCUUCCAGCUCCAUCCAUGUUGAUGCAAAGGACAUGAUCUCGUUCUUUUUCACGUCCAUGUAGAUUCCAUAUAUGUACCACAUUUUCUUUAUCCAGUCUACCACUUAUGGGCAUUUAGGUUGAUUCUGUGACUUUGCUAUUGUGAGUAGUGCUUUGGUGAACAUACACGUGCAUGUGUCUUUAUAGCAGAACAAUUUAUAUUCCUUUGGGUAUACACCCAAUAAUGGGAUUGCUUUUCUCAUCCUUUUUCUCUGUUGCUCCAUGUUCCAUACCAGGGUUAUACCAUGGGUUAUUUGAUCACUCCUUUACUGAGGUAAGUCUAAAUUUCCUUUUUUCCUGGUAAUGAACCAUGUUUCUUUGCCCAGGUCCUUGGGUUCAUUCAGAAUUUAUCAAGCACUUCCCAGGCCCAGGCAUAGGACUAGGUGCUGAGAGGAGGCAGACAGCACUGGGAUUGAUCACGGGAGGGCAGGCAGCUCUGUUCACCACCCAUACUUCAAUAAAAGCCUUUAAACCAUUACCAGGCCAUUCGCUCAAACAUGACCACCUCUACGAACUUGCCUACACCUCAGUGGAG
rnacentral:lncRNA from 1 species